rnacentral:lncRNA from 10 species
GCGGGGAAGUUUUCCAAAAAGCAUUUAAGCUGCUGCAUCAGUGAUGACACCCUUGGCCUCCUCCGGGGAAUGACAGUCCUGAGUGGUGGGUGGAAGGAAAUAGACGUGCAAAAUGCAUGCAUUUUUUCAAAUGGGGCGGCAGGCUUAAAUGUCAGCAGGCACAGUGGAGCCCUGGCCGCCAGCUGCACCCGACCUUGGGGCUGAGUUUCCAUAGCCGCUUCCCCUGCGUCACCACUGCUCCUCCCCCUCUUCCCUCCCAUCCUAUCCCAGCAGCUGCCAGCUCAUGAGGGGCCCUUGUAGUCCCCAACCCUGGCCCCCAUACUCUCCUGCCUCUUACUCCACUGGGCCUGGAGUUCCCAGAGCCACAGACAAAAGGUCCUCGGAGGAAUCUUUCUCUAAACUGCUUCUCCUUUCCAACUUCCCAAAUUUGACCUCCUCCAGGGACCAUCCUUUUCUGACCACAGGAAAAGCCCUUCCUUAAAUCCUUUAAAGCCUAGGCUUAGGGGAUUGGGCUCCUGCUUUAAGAGGAGCAUGGCAGAGCGAUCAAGCACAGGGACCCAGCCUGCGUCUGAAGUCACUGUCAGCUCUGUCACUCACUAUUUCCAUGGCUUCGGCACUUUACUAACUUCUCUGUGCCUCUACUUCCUCUUCUGAAAAUGGGGACGCCGAGGUCCAUGGCGUUCACCUCGGAGAAUUAAAUAAAUGAAGAUGUGGAACAUCCUUAGAACAGUGCCUGGCACAUGCAGCCUGAACAGAACUGCUGUGCAGGAAGAGAAGUGAAGACGGAGACCACCCAGCGAGCACAAUGCUCAAAGGCCCAAUGGAUCCACUCCUGACCCUGGAGGUGACCCCAAGCCAAGCCCUGGGGAUGCUCUUAGAGCUUCCUCUCCCAGCACAGGCAGCUGACUUCACCCAUCUGGGAAUGGUCUUCAUUUUGAUGAAGAGGCAGUCAGGGCUGAAAGGUGGUGUGUGGGCAGGAGGCGUCUGCUGGAGCCCGGUGGCAGUGCAGCUGCAGAGCCGCAGAGGACGGCUCUCAAAUCUAUCCAGCGACAGUGAGACCCAGGGCUUUGAAAGACUUUGGGGGUCAAACUGCAACUUUGCCACGUUCCCAAUGUGGGAUCUUGGGCAGCUUGCUUAACCUUUUGGAACCCAGUUUUCCCACUACAAAAUGGGGAUAUUUACACACAUAUAAGAAUUUACAUAAGUAACAAUGUUCAUAAAUUUAGGAAUUCAUCAUUUACCAGAUAUUCUCUAUGUGCCAGGCACUGUGCUAAGCACCUUGCAUGAAUCAUUUUGUUUGAUCUUUAUAAUAACCUUUCAAUAGAGGAAGCAUUAUCUCUAUUUUACAAAUAAAGAAACAGAGGCUCAGAGAGGUUUUGUAACUUGUCCCCAAUCACACAGCAAGUAAGUCCUGGAGCUGGGAUCUGCACUUGGCUUAAUGCACCAGGUAAUUUUGCCUCCAGAGGUGAGAAGCCCAGCACAGGGUCAGGCUUAGGCCAGGCACUCAGUAAAUGUUGGUUCCCUUUCCUCCUUUCUCCCUGGAAGCUCCCCGAAGGCAGAUGGUUCUUUUAAAUAUUCUGAUGAUCUUGAGCUAGUCAGUUCAAGAGGCAGCACCAUGAAGUGUUUAAAGAGCUCUAGAGCCAAACUCCCCUGGAUUCAAAUCCUUGGUUAGCGAUUGACUAGCUGUAUGACUUCAGGCCACUUACAUAACCUCUCUGUGCUCACGUGACCCAUCUGUCUAAAUAAUGAGGAUCACAAUCAUGCCCAUCAUGCCCAUUAAGGCUGUUAUGAGAGCUGAUGAGACAGUGCAUAUAAAAUACUUAGAAACGUGUCUGCAUAUACUAUGUGCUCAACAAAUGUUCCCUGUCAUUAUUACGCACUUGGCACCAGGUGUCGACAGUAAUCUCCAUCUUUGAUACUAGAUAAAAGGGAUCUCGUGGGGCUGGCUGCUCUUCCCCCAAAGUCAUUCUGUGCCCCCAAAUCAUCCCAUUAUAAAGGGAAGGGAAUGGAGGAAGAGGAAAAGAACAAAGGAGAGAGAAACUCACACGUACUAACUCAGAUUCUUCACAAGGUUAUUUCCCUGGGUCCACCCAACAACCAUAUAAGAAGGUAUUAUUGUACUCAAUAAAUGAAACAAGAAGUGACCCCAAGGGGAAUAAAGGACAUGCCUAGAAUUACACAGCUGGUAAGUGGGGAGCACAGGUGAGAAUCCCAUCCUUUUUAAGCACAUCUCCUGCCUUCAACUAAUGAUGCUCUCUGCACACGGCCACCUCACCACCGACCCUCUGGGAAGUCAAGCCUUAAGCUCCUGCCAGCAGGGAAGGAGGGCAGGCAGAGAGGCACACUCUCCUAUGGCCAAUGGCAGCUUUAGGAGGACAGAGAGCCACUUGACAGAAAAAGGAGAGAACCUUCUCCUUGGAUGCCCAGGGCAGGCCUGCUUGGUAUAUUCCCAGACCAUCUGUCUACUAUGUAGGGUCCACACCUUCACCCGAAUACCAGAGAGGAGGCAUCUUCUUUCCACCUAAAGUAGAAAGGCCUGGUGAGUCUCAACGCAUGUUACAGCUGGGAAAACAGAGGCCCUGAGCAUCUUGCCUGGGGUUGUACCUGGGUUAUACCCAGGGUUGCCCAGGCUUAGUGGCAAAGUAAGGGCAGGAUGCCAGGCUGGCUGACCCCCACUCCUUUUUCUGGAAUUACAUUCUGCUGUCUGCCCAGUAAAGAAAAUAGUAAUGUAACCAGUGGGUCCCUCUUUAGGUCUUUUGGAGGGUGGAAGGGAAGAAUUCCAGAGAAACCCAGGCAGGGAGGGAGGGGCUGCUGUAACCACAGCAGGCCUCCCCCAGGGAGAGGGACCGUGUCCCAAGUAGGGGUUGAGUUCUGAGCCUGGUGGCCCCUCCUGCUGCCACCUCCUGGAGAGGGGAAUCUUCUACCAGAGAAUGUAGCCCACCCUCCAAGACACAGCCCUGACUGUGCCACAUGCACCACCAUGACCAGGCUCCGGCGUUCUGAACCCUGUUCUGGGUUCUAACAACUUUAAGGGCUUUAGUCUGGGGCUCUGGUUUAGCCUCUGAAGAGCCCAGGUUUUAAAUAAUAACUUUACCUUGCUGUGAAACUGCUUCCACCUUGUUCUUUUCCUCUAAAAUAUAUAUGUGUGUGAUUGUGUGUGUGUGGGGGGGGGGGCACCCGCGUGUUGAGGUUGUUCCUGGGGGACUAUUAACUAAGAAUAAUUUAUCCAAGAAAUUUGUUAUGUUAGAAUUACCAAUUAGAUAUGAUUAUAACUUACCCUGGCUAACACUGCACUACUGUUGGAAAUCUGAAUCCCAUUAAAAUCUAAUUAGCAUAUAUUAAGUCGAAGGCGGUUUUACUGCAGUGGGCCAGCAGGUUUGAGCUGCGACAGGCCGGGCACGUGGACUCACUGCCCACUUCAGCAUGCUGGCCAAUGGCCCACAGUGCCCAGGUGGGUGCCAGGCAGCCUAUGGGCAGCUUUUCUCCUCCUAAGCUGAGACCAGACGGCCCAUGCUCACAGAAAGGGGCAGCUCCAGACGUGGACAUGAUGUUCGAGGUUCCGCCUUUAGAUGAGUGGCCAGCAUCCACGGAAAGCCUUCUUUGCCAUGUGGCUAAGCCAACCAAGGCGCUCUGGGGUCAGUGCUCUGGGCUAAGAGGAUGAGGGUGGUUUUGGCAACCCCUGGGAGCCAGUCAGCUUGGUGGCUGAAUGCUAGCAUCACGGAAUAUACCCUUCCCUGGGCUUACGGGUAUGGGGGUGCUUCUGCAAGGGUGUAACUGCUAUAUCUUCAUCUCUGGAAAAGCGCCUGGUAUAAUAAUAGCAAACAGUUGCUUAGCACGUACAAUGGGCUAAGGUUUUAUUUUCAUAUUCUCAACCUCGCAAAAAUUCCAAGGAAAAAGUACUAGGAUUAGGCCCAUUUUAUGCACGUUGAACCUGAGGCUUAAAGAGGUUAAGGAACUUGCUCCCGGUCUACAACCAAGGAGUAGAACACACUAGUUUGCUAGGGCCUCCAUAACAAAGUACCAUACACUGCGGGGUGUAAACAACAGUGUGUAUUUUCUCAGAGCUCUGGAGGCUGGAAGUCCAAGACCAGGGAUUCAGCAGGGUGGGUUCCUUUGGAGGCCCCUGUCCUUGGCUUAUGGAUGCCGUCUUCAUCCUGUGUCCUCCUGUGGCCUUCCCUCUGCAAGUGUCUGAGUCUUAAUCCCCUCUCUCAUGAGAACACCAGGUACGUUGGUGUAAGGCUCACCCUGGUGACCUCAUUUUACUGAAUUACCUCUGUAAAGACCCUUUCUCCAAACAGCCACAUUCUGAGGUCCUGGGAGUUAGGAUUCCAUCAUACAAAUUUGGGGUUAGGAGGUACAGCCUGAGCAAUCUCACCCACCCACAGGGCUCCAGUUACCUCCAAAUGCAAAUGACUCCCAGUUUUAAAUCCCACACCCAGAACUCUUGAUGGGAUUUCUCUCCAUGCCCUGAGGCAUUCAGCCCAAAGGAAGCCACUGUCUUCUGCAUUCUUCUCUUCUGUGUCCCCUGUGGCCAGUGGCCCCCAGCCAAUGUGACCCUUCAUCCUCCUGACUCUGCCCCCUCCACACCUUCCCGAAACAAAUAUGGUCACAUUCUGAGGUCCUGAAAGUUAGGAUGUCAGGCAAAGUGCAGUGGCUCCCACCUGUAAUCCCUCCACUUUGGGAGGCUGAAGUGGGUGGAUUGGUUGAGCCCAUAAGUUGGAGAUCAGCCUGGGCCAUAUAGUGAGACCCCAUCUUUAUUUUAAAGAAAUAUUUUUUAAUUAUACUUUAAGUUUUAGGGUACAUGUGCACAAUGUGCAGGUUAGUUACAUAUGUAUAC